rnacentral:lncRNA from 1 species
GGGGUGUAAAUGAGUUAAGUUGCUCAUGAGCUACUCGAGUUCGAUUGGACUCGAUUAUUAUCGAGCUUGAGUAAUCGAGUCGAGCUCAAGCAGUAGGAUACUCGGCUCGAAAGCUUGCGAGCCUACUCGAAUUUAUAUAUAUUUUUAAUAAUACUAUUUUUAUUUAUAAUAUAUAUAUAUUAAUUUAUAUAUUAUUAGUAAGUUAAAGUUCGAUUUCGAA